UACGUAGGGGGCAAGCGUUGUCCGGAAUCAUUGGGCGUAAAGAGCGCGUAGGCGGCCCUGUAAGUCCGCUGUAAAAAGUCCAGGGCUCAACCCCUGGAACGCCGGUGGAUACUGUCGGGCUAGAGUCCGGAAGAGGCGAGUGGAAUUCCUGGUGUAGCGGUGAAAUGCGCAGAUAUCAGGAGGAACACCGAUGGCGAAGGCAGGUCUCUGGGCCACUACUGACGCUGAGAAGCGAAAGCAUGGGGAGCGAACAG
rnacentral:rRNA from 1 species